rnacentral:rRNA from 1 species
UACCAGCACCCCGAGUGGUCGGGACGAUUAUUGGGCCUAAAGCAUCCGUAGCCGGUUCUACAAGUCUUCCGUUAAAUCCACCUGCUUAACAGAUGGGCUGCGGAGGAUACUAUAGAGCUAGGAGGCGGGAGAGGCAAGCGGUACUUAGUGGGUAGGGGUAAAAUCCGUUGAUCCAUUGAAGACCACCAGUGGCGAAGGCGGCUUGCCAGAACGCACUCGACGGUGAGGGAUGAA